UGUCCGGAGUGGCCACCGACAUCCAGGCGCUGAAGGCAGCCUUCGACGUCAAUAACAAGGACGUGUCGGUGAUGAUGAGCGAGAUGGACGUGAACGCCAUCGCAGGCACGCUGAAGCUCUACUUCCGUGAGCUGCCCGAGCCC